UCGUAACAAGGUUUCCGUAGGUGAACCUGCGGAAGGAUCAUUACCGAGUGAGGGCCCUUUGGGUCCAACCUCCCACCCGUGUUUAUUUUACCUUGUUGCUUCGGCGGGCCCGCCUUUACUGGCCGCCGGGGGGCUCACGCCCCCGGGCCCGCGCCCGCCGAAGACACCCCCGAACUCUGUCUGAAGAUUGAAGUCUGAGUGAAAAUAUAAAUUAUUUAAAACUUUCAACAACGGAUCUCUUGGUUCCGGCAUCGAUGAAGAACGCAGCGAAAUGCGAUACGUAAUGUGAAUUGCAAAUUCAGUGAAUCAUCGAGUCUUUGAACGCACAUUGCGCCCCCUGGUAUUCCGGGGGGCAUGCCUGUCCGAGCGUCAUUGCUGCCCUCAAGCCCGGCUUGUGUGUUGGGCCCCGUCCUCCGAUUCCGGGGGACGGGCCCGAAAGGCAGCGGCGGCACCGCGUCCGGUCCUCGAGCGUAUGGGGCUUUGUCACCCGCUCUGUAGGCCCGGCCGGCGCUUGCCGAUCAACCCAAAUUUUUAUCCAGGUUGACCUCGGAUCAGGUAGGGAUACCCGCUGAACUUAAGCAUAUCA
rnacentral:misc_RNA from 1 species